AGGACGAACGCUGGCGGCGUGCUUAACACAUGCAAGUGGAGCGACGAACCGGGGCUUGCCCGGGGCAGAGCCGCGAACGGGUGAGUAACACGUGGGUAACCUGCCUCAAUGAUUGGGACAACCCGGGGAAACUCGGGCUAAUACCAAAUGUGUUCACUCCUUCCAAGGGGAGUGAGGAAAGGAAGCUUCGGCCUCCGCAUUGAGAUGGGCCCGCGGCCCAUUAGCUUGUUGGUGAGGUAACGGCUCACCAAGGCUUCGAUGGGUAGCUGGUCUGAGAGGACGAUCAGCCACACUGGGACUGAGACACGGCCCAGACUCCUACGGGAGGCAGCAGUGGGGAAUCUUGCACAAUGCGCGAAAGCGUGAUGCAGCAACGCCGCGUGGGGGAAGACGGCCUUCGGGUUGUAAACCCCUUUCAGUUGGGACGAAGCUUCGUCGGUGAAUAGCCGGUUGGAGUGACGGUACCUUCAGAAGAAGCCCCGGCUAACUACGUG
rnacentral:rRNA from 1 species